UCCCAAAUUUUUUUAGUUGAAUUGCAUGUGAAAAUGUGAUUAAAUUCAUUAGUAUUCAAUGCAAAAUAUAAAAUAUUCAUGGCAUUAGCAUUGAACUGAGCUAUUUUCUUAUCAAUUUUAUCCCAUUUACCUUCCGGCUUAGAGAGAGAUACACCAUCAAUUAAUUUAGUGGAUGUGUGUGAUUCAUUUACUAUGACACUCCACAUAUCAUAGUCAAGUGCUUCUAUGAAAAUUCUCAUCUAAGCUUUUCAAUAGG
rnacentral:lncRNA from 1 species